AAAAUGACUGUGAAAAAGAGGAGUAGAAGUAAGAAUAGUAUUAAGAGAGGAAAGUUUAUUAGCUGAGAGACUUUCUAUACGAAUCACUUUGAAGGUAGCUUUGGAGUUUCUUUACUGAAUUUAUAGUAGGUAAAGACGGUUUUCUUAACCGUUAAUUGUAUUAAGAGCCUGUAACUUUACAGGAAAAAAGGUGGUAACGCGGGUCUUCGUCCUUUUA
rnacentral:ncRNA from 1 species